GACGAACGCUGGCGGCGUGCUUAACACAUGCAAGUCGAACGGAAAGGCCCUGCUUUGGUGGGCUGCUCGAGGGGCGAACGGGUGACUAACACGUGAGUAACCUGCCCCUGCCUUUGGGAGAACUUCAGGCAACUGGGGCUAAUACCGGAUAGGAGCUCCUGCUGCAUGGUGGGGGUUGGAUAGUUUCGGUGGUUGGGAUUUGACUAGCGCCUUAUCGGCUUGUUGGAGUGGUAGUGGCUUAGCAAGGCUUGGACGGGUUGCCGGCCUGCGAGGGUGACCGGCCCCGUUGGGCCUGGGCUACGGCCCAGACUCCUACGGUAGGCAGCGGAGGGGAAGAUUGCACUAUGGGCGGAACCCUGAUGCAGCAACGCCGCGUGCGGGAUGACGGCCUUCAGGUUGUAUACCGCUUUCGCCUGUGACGGGGCGUUAGUGACGGUAACGGGUAAAGAAGCACCGGCUAACUACGUG
rnacentral:rRNA from 1 species